rnacentral:lncRNA from 1 species
AAUAAAGCUUUGCCGUAGAAGGAUCUGGUUGUCCGAGUGUGUUUUGCUGGCGAAACAUUACAAGGACAUCCCAUCCCACCUACACCAUGGACCACCCACAUCAAGGUCUCCAGGCUGAGGGUAGAGCUUGUACAAAAUGAAAAUUUUGGUCACCACUCCAGAGCUACUGAGUUAGAAACCAAGAGUGAUGUUUAGCAGUGAGCGUUCCAGCUGACUAUCAUGCUCACUGAAAUUGAGAGGCACGCACCUACUCUACGCUCACUCUUCACAUUCCCUAGAGCAUACACCACUCAUCUCUGCUAGUGGAUCACCUCUGAACGCUGUCUGCGCUGGGCUGAGGAUGCUCAUUACUGAAGUUCAAGGUUCUUACUGAUGUCACUGGAAAAUUUGUCUCUGCUCUGAGAAAUCACAGGAAGAAUUGCUCAGUGAGGCUUAAUCUGUCAGUUUACAAAACAAG